GAAAGAGAGAAAGAAAGAAAGAAAGAAAAAUAGUAGCGGGUUUGAACUGUUUGAUGUGAUAGUAAUAAUAAUAGUUUAGUAUUAGAAUACAGAGUGAGCUGAAAAAAGCCUUGAAUUGUUGUUGAAACUCAACAAGGGAAAGCCUUGAAUUCAACUAGCAGCACUAGCACUAGCAAUUGUGAUAACUGUUUUCCAGAAUCAAAAACCUAACUUUGCCUUUCUACAAAACAACAUACCCCAAUCCCUUAAGUUUCUCUGCUCUCUUCGCUCCUAAGUUUAGGGUUUCCACUUCCUUCUUCUUCUUUUUAAUUCUUCUCUAACGCAACGCUGGCUAUGGACUACGAGCCCUAUGAUAGCAGUGGAACUGAUGAUGAUCUACCACCAUCACAUCAGAAUAGAAUACCUAGAACUGGACGAAUUGCUGGGAAUGGAAGAUCUGCUGUAGCUUCAGUGACAUAUCCUAGGAUUUAUGGUGAAACUGAUAUGGAGGCCCAAAUUCACCAGCUUGAGCAAGAAGCAUACAGUUCAGUUCUAAGAGCCUUUAAAGCUCAAGCUGAUGCCAUUACUUGGGAGAAGGAGAGUUUGAUAACAGAACUUAGAAAAGAAUUGAGACUAUCAAAUGAGGAGCACAGAGAGCUUUUAGGCCGGGUUAAUGCGGAUGAUGUCAUACGGAGGAUAAGGGAGUGGAGACAAACAGGGGCACUGCAAUCCAGCGUGCUUAAUUCUGGUCAAGCUGUUCAUGGUCCUGCACCUAGUCCCACUGUGUCAGCAUCUCGCAAGAAACAGAAGAUAAACCAGUCAGUGCCUUCACAAUCCUUUGGUGGGCCAUCCCCACAAUUUCACCCACAAGCUGUUGUUCCAUCUCACCAACCAUCUUCCUCGGCUGCUAAACGAGGACCUAUAACUGGCUCCAAGGGCAAGAAACAUAAACCAAGUUUGCCCGGUGCGCCUUCCAUGAAGUCCCUGCAGUACCCGUCCACAGGUUCAGCUGGGAGGGGUCAAGUUGUUAAUAGGGUAUCCUCUGGUACUGCCCUUGUGAGUGAACCUGCUGAAGGGGCAACAUUUAAUCCAUUAAUUGGGAAGAAAGUAAGGACAAGAUGGCCUGAUGAUAACAAUUUCUACGAAGCUGUCAUUACUGAGUACAAUCCAGUUGAGGGACGACAUGCGCUGGUCUAUGAUAUUGGUACUGCAAAUGAGACAUGGGAAUGGGUUAAUCUUUCAGAGAUUUCUCCUGAGGAUAUACAAUGGGAAAGUGAGGACCCUGGAAUUCCUCAUCGUGGUGUUUAUGGUGGACCAGGUCAUGGGAUGAAUAGAUCUGUAGGUCAUGAUGGUGUGCCAGGUGCAGGAAGAGGUAGAGGUUUCGCAAAGGGGCCAUCAAGAAAAGAUUUUCUACCGUCACAGAAUGGCAUUGGAAAGAAAGCACUAGAUGAUAUACAAAUUCUUCGCACAGAUACUCUAAUCAAGGAGGUAAAAGAAAAUAGGUGGAGAGGGUUUUUGGUACAAACCAUCCUGACCCCCUUGAAAUUGAGAAAGCAAAGAAAGUGCUAAAAGAGCAUGAGCAAUCGCUUAUUGAUGCAAUUGCAAAGCUCACAGAUAUAUCUGAUGGUGAAAGUGAUGAGGGUGGCCUCCAGUUUGGGCAGCCAAUGGAUCGAACAUGAUGAAGAAGCAGUUUUUGUAGGAAGACAAAUAGCUUAUCCAUGUAUCCUGAUAGAAGGGUCAGAGAUGAAUGGAUGAAUGCUUGAGUUGACAAUAAGAUGGGUAGCGGAGACAGUUGCUGGUGGGAGGGUAAUUCUUGUAUGAUGCACUUUUUCUAACUGUAUUUUCCUCAACAGGGAUAAGUCUAGGUUUGUGGGGGUGGAUAGGUAUUACUGUAAGAGGGAAUUAUUUGUUGUAGUUGUUUGCUAAUUUCUUUGUAAUUGAUUAGAAAAGGAAAAAGAAAAUAGUAGAAGGCUGAUGCUUGAUGUAAGAUUAUUGAGUUAGCAAUUACCGUGUGUUGAUUUAGAAAUGUAUUUUCGUUGGUACCUUUGGGCAGCCCUCUCGUAUGUUAUCAGGACGUUCAAACUUGGAGGAAACGCAAUGGUAGCAGCACGCAUUUUGCCUUGGGGUCCUGCUUGUAGCUACAGAGAUUUGUGCUGUAAUAAUAUUUUUCUUGGCUUA